AACGCUGGCGGCGUGCCUAAUACAUGCAAGUCGAACGAGUUCUCGUUGAUGAUCGGUGCUUGCACCGAGAUUCAACAUGGAACGAGUGGCGGACGGGUGAGUAACACGUGGGUAACCUGCCCUUAAGUGGGGGAUAACAUUUGGAAACAGAUGCUAAUACCGCAUAGAUCCAAGAACCGCAUGGUUCUUGGCUGAAAGAUGGCGUAAGCUAUCGCUUUUGGAUGGACCCGCGGCGUAUUAGCUAGUUGGUGAGGUAAUGGCUCACCAAGGCGAUGAUACGUAGCCGAACUGAGAGGUUGAUCGGCCACAUUGGGACUGAGACACGGCCCAAACUCCUACGGGAGGCAGCAGUAGGGAAUCUUCCACAAUGGACGCAAGUCUGAUGGAGCAACGCCGCGUGAGUGAAGAAGGCUUUCGGGUCGUAAAACUCUGUUGUUGGAGAAGAAUGGUCGGCAGAGUAACUGUUGUCGGCGUAACGGUAUCCAACCAGAAAGCCACGGCUAACUA
rnacentral:rRNA from 2 species